UUGCUUUAUCUCUCUACUUGCAGGGAUGUUUGGGACCCUCCACCAGGUGUGCUUUGAUUUGUUCACUGAAGUAGCCCUAUGGCCUGCCAGGUUGGCCCCGUGGGCCCCUAGAGACAUCUCUGUCAUUCUGCAGCCUGGACUCUUGGAAUUCAAAGUCCUCUGGCUUCAAGGCUGCUGUGUUUGAGGGACAAGGGAACUUCGGGUCCCUGACUUCUCCACCAUGUUGGAUUUCUGUCUCCUUCCCAAAUUUUCACAUGGCAGGACUUGCUUCCCUCAUCAGUUGGGCUGCAAGUGUCACCUCUUCUCAGGGGUGCCCUGACCACUGCCCACCCCAGUCCCUCACCAUCCCAACACUCAGCGUGUCUUCUUCACUUGCACUUACCCAUAUCUGAGAUCCUCCCAUUUGUCUGCGUACCUGGGUGGUGUCUGUCUCCCCAUCUAGAAGGCCAGCUCUUGGAGGGCAUGGCUGAGUCUCUCCUGCUGGCUGCUCUCUCCCCGGCACCUGGAACAGAGCCUGGCAUGCAGUGAGCGCUCACUGUAGUAUCUGCCACACACCGAAUGCACGCAUAGCAACAGGGACCCCCAUUCCUGGGCAUAGCAACAAACUUCCAUUCACCUGCACAGUCUGAAGGGACUGGCAGUCUUUCUUCCAGGAAGAUGGCGCUCAAGAGGAGUCAGCGGGAGAUGAGGGAGCAAGGAUGAAAUGCUUGCCCUAUGGAGGAACUAACAUUUGUUCACCAGGAACUGUGUUGGGCAUUAGCACUGGCAGAUGACGACACUGAGGCGCAGAGACUUGCCCAGAGAUCCAGAGCCAGCAAGGAUGGGGAAGGUUGUGACCCCAGGGCUGCCGUAACCACACAGCUAGUACCCUUCCUACUGCACUCAACCAAAACAGAGGACAAUCACCAAACCAAAACUUCCAUUCACGCGAAGGCUUCGACACCACUGAAAUUCACCUUGGCUUCCUCGCCAGAGUCCGUGCCUGUGUUUGAAGUGGACUUAACACAAGUUCGCCUUUUUUAAAGCACAGGACGAGGUAAACAGACACAUAGCCAAUGUUUUGCUCAAGGCGAAUGGCUACCUAGAGUUCACUGAAACAGAUAUGGGUGUGUGGUGGGGGUCAGAUAUGUGAGGUGGGGAUCAAGACUCUUUCCUCCCCCACGUGCAUAUCCACCAAUCCACCGGCCCUGACCUAAAGCAUCAUCUUUCUCUACUGUGCUGCAACAUCUCCAUUGUCAUUAAUCUGGUGAUUCUACACGUGUUGGUCUAGUUCUGGACUUU